CAGGAAGUGAAGGCAUCUUGGUACGGAGCAUGCUGUUUUAAUUCCACAAAAGCUUUGUGAAUUCGGCUUAACGGAGCUCCCUGCACAACAGCCCUGUGCCACGCAGAAGCGAGGGAGGUUCCUCUCAAGUGGUCACAGGUUUAACGUCUGGGUUUUUGUCAGCGGGAUUUGAUUUCAUUUUUCCUCUCUCCACCAUUUGGAGAAGCCUUUGGCUGGAGAUAUUAUAAAAGAGAUGAUUUUUUUUUUUCUUUUUUUUUUUUUUUUUUAUGGUAACGCUUAACUGGAAAGACUGGGAGGAAGACAAAGCUACACAGGGACCAAAGGAGUGCCUUCAGAUGAAAUGUAAUCAUGUGACUCAAGGCAGAAGCAGGCAAGACGUCUGGAAGGGACUUGAACAUUUAUGCCUCAGUGCUGCUGCUUGACUUCCUCCAGAGAAGGGAGAGCAUGCUUGGAUGUUUGCCAAAAGGGAGAUCACAGUUCUUUCUAAUGCAGACCUUGCAAGGUCUAGCACAAGGCAAAGACACUUGAGCACUGGAAUAGUUUCUUGGAGACUCUGAUGGCUCUUCUGCAUAUGAAUCAAAAAGAUUGAAAAAGACCACCAAGAUCAUCUCGUCCAACCGUUAAACCCAUCGACCUAUUCUCUUUUCACUCUGUCUCAUUAUAAAAACCUUCAUUUACUCCGUAACCCUCUUACCAGGACCUGUGUAGAUGUCAUAUAUUCACAGCCCUGGACUCAGACCAGAAAGAACCUGAGGACAAACAUGCUUACUUCGCUGCAAGCGCCAGCCCCACGUGGGCUGCCCACUGCUGGAGAUGUGUGCACCCAAACCACGUUGCCACAAUCCCCAAAGUUUUUUGCACCACCACUAUUUCUCUGCAAAUCCUUAAGCUGCACCAGCUGACUCCGCCAAACAAAUUAUUUUACAUUUUUUAACUGAAAUGCUUUUUGUUUUUAUUUUAAUGAAUCCCCUAACUCCGAGUUUAAUUAAACUCAUGUUUUUUAAUUAAUUACCAACAAAUGCAAAUAAGGGAAACUACACAAACAUGUAUUCACCGUUCACAGAUAGAUACAGUUGUUGUUUUUUUUAAUCCUCAAGAGUCAGGAUUUGAAAAUCUUUAAGUCUUGAGGGUCACAACCCCCAAAUUAUUUUCAGUUGGGGAUUUAUGAGAAUAUCUUCCUAGUGAAUGGCAGGGAGCUCAAUUGCUUAAAGGAACAUAAAGCAAACUGCAGUUUCAUUAGCUUAACCGAGUUGUUCCAGUUAAACAACGGUACAAGUCAGCAGAAUUAAGCUUCUGUGUAAGUUAUUAGAAGAGAAGUGUAGAAUGUAGGAACUUCUCCAUCAGAAGGGUGUACAGUUAAUAGUCCUAAAUGCUGACAAACACAAAUGCAGGCUUAUUAAGUACUCUCUCUGGUUAUCCAAGUUCAGCUACAACAGAAAUCCUAAAAGGAGGGAAGCAGAGUUCAAGCAACGAAACCCAAAGCUCUGACAGCCAGGAAACACAAACUUAAGGCAUGGAAUAUGCUCAUGCUUAAACCUUGGAAACUGCAAGCACCUCUAGGCAGUGCUCUCCUGGUACUUGCAGUGGCUGCCAGUGCCUGAGGACAUUUCACAGGGGGGUUACCUUCUUUCCUGUGUAAGAAUUAUUAUUUUCAGCAUGAAAUAUUUCAAAAUCUCAUGAAAUAUUACUCUGAAGAGCUUCUCUGGUGACUUUUUUAACUCAAAAUGCCAUAAAAGCAGCCUGUCCCGUUUCCAGAGCUAAUACAUAGAAUUAUUUAAAUUGCUACAGCAAGAAGCCAGGAAUCUUUGUUUCUGUUCCCUUCCUAGGCCUGACAUGGAUGAAUUUGGCCGUGUCCACACGUCCCAUUUAGAUCUCAGAGCCCCAGAAUGACUUCAGUUCACAUACAGAGCUCUCCAGCUUGCUUAACCCUGAGCUGGGCGAUGAGUUCUGACCUUGCUGGAACACAGCCCGGAGCCUAGCUCAGUAUCCCAUCCCUGGCAACAGGCACAGCCAGUAAGAGGCCCCUGGGCACUGUGCUUUCACCUAAAAGCAGCAGGUAAUGCUUGUUUUCCUGCAUGAUAAAAUAAUUUCUUAUGUGCAGCAAAGCUACAUACCUAUGGAGACUGUGUUCUACAACAUAUCCUUCAUUUUUCCACUUCUUGUUAUUUAUAUUAAAUGAUAUUCAGAGUUUUUAUAUGUAUAUACACAUACACUGCAUGUAGGUCACUUCUACUUAUCCCUAUCCCAUCCUCCUCCCUGAAAUAUCAAGCAGAUUUCUCCACCAUUUACUAUGGAGCAGGUCAAGUGGCUCUUUGACAUCAAAGUGUCUGCACUUCCUUAAAAGACCUUAGUGGCCCACAGGAUGCAACGUGUGAAUGCACUCAUUUUUGGUGCUUCUUUCCCCACCAAAAGAAAAAUAAUAUCUUAGAGGCAUGUCUAUAUCAUACAGCUUUGGGUAAGUGGGAUUUUUUCUGACUCUUUGUCCCCUCUGCGUCCCCAGAUGAAAAAUGGGAAUAAGUCACCCUUAAUGAACUUAUGCAAAAAAUGUAAUUAUGUUAAGCUUAUCUAACUGACGUAUUUUGAGGAGGUUAACUGAAAGAUGUCAGAUGUGCAAUGUUAUUUGUUGUGUUUAAAGAUACUUGUGCUCUCAUCCUUGGGAAAAUUCUUCACGUUCCCUGUCCUGCUGCACUUAGCAACGAUCCUAUCUUGAUUGCGUUCCAGUUACCCCAUGUCAAAAAUAAUCAGGAAGAAGAAUGAUAAAGCGCGAGAGCAUUCUGGGGAAGGCUGCGAUCCCAGUGACACCUCCUUCCCCUGCUUGCCCAGAACACACGCAAAACAAAACAAAACAACAACAAGAGAUCUGUGUCCACCCACCUCCUGAGCAGCACGAUGGUCUGAGCACAAGAGGAUGGAGCACGCAGAGCAUCGCUCCGGGUGCACAGAACCUGGGCUCCCACCCAGCCAGGCCUCAGCGAGGUGGGAUUUUCCUUCCUUAAGAAAUAUCGCAAACAGAAGAUUCCCAUGUUUGAAAGGUCAGAGGAAAAAAUAUAAUGCACUCAUGAAGAGACAACCUCAUUAAUCCUGUUGUUCUUGGCCCAGUCAAUAGAAGAAACAUAAAUGCUGUCAGCACUGCGCCGCCAGAUAAAGGAUAGAAAGUGGGAAUGAAAUGUUUUACUGCGAGGACUGUUCUGAUGGUUUGAGAACAUUUCUGGAAAUAACCUGAGCUGAGAAAAUGUUCCCUAGGAGGAAUACAUGCUGUGGGAAACUGGGUGGAAGAUAAAGUUUGGUCAGUGACCUUCUCACUAUCCUCUAAUCACGCAGCACGCUGCUCAAAGAGAGAAAAGGGGAAAAGAAAGGGAUACUGUGCAGGCGGAGAUGCUGUACCUUCCUGGCACUACAUGAAGCGAAGUGGAAAACACAGGGGUAUCAUAAAUCUCUAUUUCAUGCUCUCGGAUACUGUAGUGAAAUAAUAAUCGACUGUAGCUUACAGGGAAAAAAAGCGUUACUUUUGGUUUAGGGCACUGUAAGAGCACAAACGCAAUACACCUUCAGUGAGCAUAAAAACAAAUGACAAAGUUGCCAAAAGGGGAACGUGGCUUUCUGUCUGUAUAACAUUAGAAAUGGAGAGAGGGCAUCAUAACUCCUCAAAAGCAGCAGUGAGAGGGGACCUCUCCCAUACAGGUGGCUCCAGGAGCCACCCGUGGCCGAAAGCUCUGCUUAAAUACACACACAAAUGCAUCAGCAGUGUUCGGAUGCUGUCUGUGUGCAGAGUGAGUAAAUAUUAGCAUACGUGGGUACUCUUGGGAAGAUUAGGAAGCCAUCAAAUACAGCUAUCCGCAGCUCUCUGCACACUGAGAGAGCAUUAGAAAACUCUUUUCUUUGGCUAUUUGCAGGGAACAUCACUUUGCUUUGCUUUUUUUUUUUUUUUUCUUCCCCUUAUCUCCUUUUCCUUUAAAAACAAAAUUCCUGUAAUCAGCCUGUCUAAAAAGCAGUCCUUUCAGGACCGGUGCUACACAAACGCCAAGACUGUUCUGGUUUCUGUAUCAAGCCUUUGAAAAACACAGUGCAGUCCUCCUGAAGCAGCACCACUGGGGUAAAGCCACAGCACAGAAGUUGGGUAAAUAUUUUCCUUGUGCUCAUCAGUAGCUGGCUGUUGACAAACAUCCUCCUAGAGUGGUAAUGCAGGAUAAUGCUGUCAUUACUGGGGGAUAAACGCUGAUGUUGCAGCACAUCUCCAUUGCUCUCUCAAAAUAGAGGGCAUACAGAGAAUUAUAUAAGAUCUCCCAAAUAUUUUGCCAAUCAGCACUGAAAUAAUUGCAGAAGUUACUGGUGAGGUAGUUCAGAGAAAAGGCAGGAUGAGUCAAACUUCUUAAAGUAGAGAUAAACCUUUUCAUUUUUAUCUUUCUGAGGUGUUCUUAGAGAAAAGAGGAAAUGGACUGGACAGAACGAGAUUUCUGUCUUCUUCACUCGCUGGUUGCCUAUCAGACAUGAAACAGAACGGGUGCAAUAAGCUAUUCUCUUAUUUUUCUUCCAUCCAUCUGGAAACAAGAACUACCAGAAGUCUGACAAGAAAGCCUGAUCUCCAGCCAGAUUUCUAGAAAUGUUAAUAGGAGUUCCUUAUUCAAAAGUCACCUUCAGAACUUAUGAGUUUCUUUUCCUGAUAGUUCAGAUGUCAUCACUAUUGACCACAAUUAUUUCUGGAAAGGGACCAAAAUGUGUCCUUCAGGAUUCUCCUGCUACCAUAUCUAAUGAAAUAUACAGCUCCAUAAGAAUACAGCUGUAUAUCAUACAUCUACAUGAUAAUGCUGGUUACUAGAAAUGAGAUUAAGAAUAAAACCUUUUGAAAAAGAUGAUGGACAGUAACAUAAGAACAACAAGAAUAUUUCACUGAUGGGCUUCGCUCAAGAGAGUUUGAUGGGAAGAGAGCAUUCCUUCUGCUUAAGUGUCAGCAUCCAGAAAACUCCAAGCUAACCAGAGAGGUCUCAUAGAUACCCCAGUGAUUGGGAGCAUCACUGCAACUCGUGAGGCUUGAUGAGUUGGAAAGGACCUUUAAAGGCCAUCUAGUCCAACUUCCCUGCAAUGACCAGUAGAAACAGCUCAAUCAGGGUGCUCAGAACCUGGUCCAGCCUGACUUUGAGAUUCUCCAUGAAUGAAGCGCCCAUAGAGGGGUAUCCAUGGUUGGGGCACCCAUGUACUUGCCCGGGUAUAAUGUUCCCCAUCCCUCAGAAGCUGGAGAUGGUGAUUCAGACAGAACUUGCUGUCACAGUAGGACCUCAGAAAAAACAGCAAGGACCACAGAGGCUCAGACAGACCUCUACAACCAGGGCAUUCAUUCCAUCACUUCCACUGGGUGAACUUCAGGACCAGAUGGGACCUACCGAGGCUCUGAGCAAUGCUACAUCACAGCACUAGCAGAAUUCUCCUGCUCCAUUUUGUACAGUGCAACUUAAUGGCCCUAUUGACAUCUUCUGUGAUAUACGUCCUGUGAUCAGUGCAAUUACUGCAUGUCAUCACCACUGUAAAUUUACCCAGCCUGAAACCAUUUUAAACUUAAACUGCAUACUUAAGAACUACUAUCCACCUCCUCUUUGUAAAUUAGCUAUAUGAUUUAUCUGUGGGAACCAUUUCAAAAAGUAUACAUUCAGAAAUACAUAUACCACAUGAUGUCUUUUCCAUAUGGCAUCUCAUAAUUAUUUUGCUGUGUGUGAACAUGAUGAAAACAGUUUCAUAAUUCUCUAAGGGUUAGGGUAAAUUAUUUCAAUUAGACAUAUUUCAGAGCAAACAUUACCUUAGGGUUUAUUAAUAAUAGUACCUGAGAAGGAACAGCUGCCUUUUAAGCAGCAAGAGCUGUCAGCUUCUCACUGCCCCCCUUGUAGCACCCCUUUUGUGACUCUAAAAAAAUGGCAGAUUUUCUCAUGCUUUACCUAAACAGAGAACUUGGCAGCAGAGACCUGGUUGUAAUCCUCAGCAAGGGAGCUGGUGGGUGGAUUUUUUCCCUAUAAACUCUUGUAUAAACCACACCAGUCUCCUGGUAUUUAUUUUGUGUAAUGUUGGAAAUCAUACACAGAUCCAACAGGCCAUGUAAAAGAGUUUUGUAACUUCCUGAAAUCCUUUCAGACGAAAUCUUUUCUCCAACAGUGGUCCCAGGUCAUGGGGAUAUCAUCACCAGUUUUUAAGGGCAAGGUUCCUCAGCCGUUUGUAAGAGCAGAACUUUGAAACUAGGCAAGGGACAUCUAAAUUAGAUCAGCUAAUUAUUAGGAAUUGCUAAUGGAAUUAUUAGAAAGAUAAUUAGGUUGUUGAGGUAUACAGACCAUUUUGUAAGCACUGAGCUUACAAGCAGCCUGUAUCACAAUUUUUAGUGCCCCAUUCCUCAUCUAGUUGUUUUUAUGUAUUAAUACCGUCGUAUGGCGUGCACUGAUUUUGAGCUACAGCUUCUGUGGUUACGCCUCCCUGCAAUUAACACUUCUGUGUUUAAAGACAAAUGCCUAUGAAUCACUUAGGUGCAUUCAACUCCCUAAAAACCCGAAGCUGAAGUGUGCUGAGAAUCGAUUCCUGUCUCUCCUCACCCAAUUCUGCUUGCAGGGGUGAGGGAACUGACCUUAAAUACACAGUCAUUACAGCUGGGUUGAAGAAAGGGACAGAGCCUUUAUGGUGAUAAAUAAUACGGAUAUGAUCAUGGAGAGGGCUGGUGUGACUGACUCCUUGCUACAACCUGUGGGGUGGAAUAAAAUCUGCCAUAGAGCUGUAGGUCUGAGUGGGAAGUAGGAAAUUAGCUCCCACCAGCUCUGCUUAUCCAGGACCAUGCAUGAAAGAGAGUUGGAGGCAUCCAGUAUGGACUGAAAAAACUGAAACUGAGAGCCCUCCAAUAAUGUCUGUGAAAGCAUUUUAGAAUAAAUAUGCUGAGAAAUCAACCCUCACCAUCAGGUAUGAGUGUCCCAUCCCUGGAACUUCUCAAGGUUCCAUUGGAUGGGAAUUUGGGCAAACUGACCUGGUGGGAGUUACCCCUGUCCAUGGCAGGGGGGUUGGAACUAGAUGGUCUUUAAGACCCCUUCUCAUCCAACCCUUCUAUCAUUCUGUGACUGUCAGCCUUUUAAUCCUGCAGUCCUUGGGUAGCUGUGAACUGAGAUGGAGCAGGUGUCUAAUUUAUAUUGUGUAUCACUAACAUCAUCUAUAGAUACAUAUUUACUUUCAUGUAAAUAGCAAAAAAGGUAUAAAGGGAAUAUACAUACAUGCAUAACUGUGGGUAUAAUAAACACAUACACUGCCUAUGAUUGCUUGAAAGCCAAAACCAGGAUAUCUAAACUGCUUAAUUAUCAUCAGGCCAAACACAAGAGUAAUACUACAUCAUUAUCACACUUAAAUCUUUUCAUCUUAGCUACAAGAGGGGAAAAAAAAGCAUUUCUAAAGAGAAAAAAUGAUUGGUAGAAAGCAUUCAAGCUAUAAAGUAUUUCCUUUUGGUUCAGGUCCUAGUAUUUUUGCCUGUCUCAACUUCAGGCAGCUCUAUAACUCCGCUGAAUGAUUUCCAAAGGGCCUCUUGCCCAUAUCUUUGCGCAAGAAUACUCACACUUAGCCAUGAAAUUGUCACAAGAGAAACUGUUUGCUUUACUGUCUUCCAUGGCAUUUUGAUUUCCCUGCACCUUCCUAAAGAGGAACCUUGCAUGAUCCCAGUCCCACAAAGACAUUCAGUGUUGGGUGCCACUGGCUCAAAAGCCAGGACUACUUCUCCCACCCACUUCUUCUGCUCCUGCGUUUAAAAAUCCAAAGAAAGUGAAUGACUAAGAAUCCAGAUCCCCUGAUCCCUUUAAUAUUUUGAACAAACAAGCCAGUUGUUUCACAUCGCGUCUACUAUUUCAUUUGGGGAAAAACAUAUUCUCAAUGGUGGAAACAUCUAAUCUCUUUCUGCAUGUCAUGCAAGGAAAGGACUACUAUUAUAAGACCUCUAAUCUUUGCUGUCUCUCUGCUUAGUCCCAUUAUUUAUUAUUUUCCCCAAUAACUAGACAAACAUAAUUACAGUUCAUACGGUUUUACACUUUUCAAGAUACCACACUUUGCUGAGUUAAUUCUUUGAACAACUGUGCUGUAGAAAUGAUGCUUUCAUGCUGGUACUCCCUGCCAGACCUUUCCUUCCUUAACCAUUUGCAAAUCCAUUGGCUCACUUCAAUCCAAUUCAAUAGAGAUAGGAGCCCUGAAGACAAUUAAAUUCCUGUAACUUCUGCUAAUAUUGGCAGCUCGAGACAGGUAGGAGAUUAAAAGGAGUGCCUCUGAGGCAGGAAGACUGCAACAUGAGGCUCUACAGCACCAUUUCUGUUGGUUUGGCCAUAGCCAAUAGGUACAUAUGGGGUUCUGCACAACACCCAGCCUCUCAUGCAAGCAGCAGCUCAGGGAAAAUGGAGGUAUCAUUUGUAGGCUGUAUCAGGGGAUGGGAAGUAGUGCAAGAAGGUGAAAACCUAGUGGGAAAGCAGGGAGAUUGAGGACCCAAAUUCAAAGGAAUAGAAGCUUCAGUAAUUCUAUGUCUGAGGUAACAGUGUUUAUAUUGUUGUCCUCAUUUCCACAAUGUCCUAUUCUCAAAGCACUGUUUCAGUCAUUUUCUACAUUGCAAUACACUGAGAGCAACCAAACUGACAGGAGUGCCUGUUAUCCAGACUGGAGAAUUUUGUAACCAGUUCUACACCCAGGCACAACAUCUCGUCAACUGCCUAUUGCUUCUGAGCCUUAAAGAUUACAGUAGAAACGCAGCAAGGGCUUAUCUCAUUCAUCUGUACUGUAACUUCUUGCAUACUGCAGGGCUCAUGCUAUUCUCAUACCUGUUUACAGUAACAUUGCCUAAAUAAAUCACAUGUACACUCAUGUUCAACAAUUAUGCAGUACUCUCUACUGGCAAUGGGACUAGACUGGGAGUUAGGAGACAGACUUCCAUCUGGUAGUAAAACGCUGUGGGACUAUAGGAGGCUGUGUGUUUUUUUUCCCCCCUCUCUCCUUUCUUCCUCUCCCAUACUUUGCCUCAUUUAUUAGUUCAAACUAAAAGUCCUCGAGCGGAAAGGCCUAUUUUCACCAGAUGUUUGCAUGAGCCUAACACAUUGGGAGCCCUUUCUUAGUUGAAGUCCAGAUGGCCUAUAGCAAAGUAGAUAAUAACAAGACUCACACACUGGCUUUCUUAUAUCUGUAUGACAACAUCACCUUUGAAAUGGGAAUACUUGACUAUGCUGUAAGAAUACAUUUUCACUUGUAUGUUUAGCUGUAAUAGGCCUACUAAAAUACAAACACAGGAACUUAAAAGUGCCUUCAUCAGAAUUAAUGGACAGUCCGACAAAGAUCAAAUUUGUCUUCUGCCAAGAAAUUAAUAAUCUUAAAGCAUCAGAGAUUUUGUCAUGCUUGCCUUCUUUUGUGUGCUGUACCCAGUCAGUGAACACAUCUCUUACCCUGCCCCAAGAGAAAGACCAGACUUCUCACAAAUACUGCCUGCCACCCACAAGCCUGUCUCAAGACCCAUCUACAAAUUUCCUUUGCUUUUUGAAGAGAAGAAAUUUUCCUUGACAAAGGUGAUUAGCAGGCAUUAAAGGCUAAUCUUAGGUUUACUAAUUCACAAUUUUAUCAUAUUUCUUAACUAGUCAAAAGCAAAUCCCUCUUGCUCAUACCUUGUUAUGCUAAUAUUGCAUGCAACCAUCACUGGUAUUUAAUCUUUCAUCAGAAAAAAAAAAUCUUAAGCAGAGAUACUGACAUGAGCCAAAGUGGUAAGGUCAUGCACUUCAGUGUGUUUUUCAGGUUAUUCUAUUU
ensembl:lncRNA